GCCGGGGCGGUCGCGCGCAGAGGCCGGGAACUGGGCUGCUCUGGCCCGGCCCUGGUCGGUCCCGGGGCGCUAGGGGCCUCCGCCCGCCGCCGGGGCUCGCCAGAGGGUGCGCGGAACCCAGAAAGGCCAGGGGUUCGAGCCCUGAUCGGCCCGCGCCUCCCCCUUGCGGGUCCCGAGGUCGAACGCACCUCGCCCUCCUGCACCUCACCUUCUCUGCGCCUAGGAUAGAGAACAGCCCCCUCCCGCGUCACCCCAGAGCAGGCAUGGGAGUCCUGCUUGGAGAGCCUCAGGCUUCAGUCCUGUCCCUGAGGAAGCCAGCCCAUGCCAGAAGGCGCUGCCACCCACCUGGACCGCAGAGGCUCCCAGGACUCCACUCCACCGAGGUUGCUUCUGACCGCAAGUGUCCUUAUUAAGACAAGCUCUUGGUGUUCCCUACCCAGACUUUGGCUGACACCAGAGGAUCUAAUUAUGAUUCAUACAUCCACACUGCUCAGGAACUGGUCUUUCUAAUUUCACACAGUGCUGUUACUGAGAGGAGAAAAAUCCACUCCAGUCCUGGUAGCGAGACACAGUGCUUCUCAGUCUGAUCCACACUUUCGAAUCACCGAGGGAGCUUUAAAAGUCCUAGUGCCUCAGCCAGGGUUCAUACCAAAUAAGCAAGAAUUUCUGGGGAGGG